GACGAACGCUGGCGGCGUGCUUAACACAUGCCAGUCGAACGGAAAGGCCCUGCUUUUGUGGGGUGCUCGAGUGGCGAACGGGUGAGUAACACGUGAGUAACCUGCCCUUGACUUUGGGAUAACUUCAGGAAACUGGGGCUAAUACCGGAUAGGAGCUCCUGCUGCAUGGUGGGGGUUGGAAAGUUUCGGCGGUUGGGGAUGGACUCGCGGCUUAUCAGCUUGUUGGUGGGGUAGUGGCUUACCAAGGCUUUGACGGGUAGCCGGCCUGGGAGGGUGACCGGCCACAUUGGGACUGAGAUACGGCCCAGACUCCUACGGGAGGCAGCAGUGGGGAAUAUUGCACAAUGGGCGGAAGCCUGAUGCAGCAACGCCGCGUGCGGGAUGACGGCCUUCGGGUUGUAAACCGCCUUCGCCUGUGACGAAGCGUGAGUGACGGUAAUGGGUAAAGAAGCACCGGCUAACUACGUG
rnacentral:rRNA from 1 species